UGCUACAGCCAUGCCACCUUGAACAAACCUGAUCCCAUCUGAUCUUGGAAGCUAAGCACAGCCGAGCCUGGUUAGUACUUGGAUGGGAGACCACCUAGGAAGACUAGGUGCUGUAGGCA
rnacentral:rRNA from 1 species